rnacentral:rRNA from 1 species
AUGAACGCUGGCGGCGUGCCUAAUACAUGCAAGUCGAGCGAACAGAUAAGGAGCUUGCUCCUUUGACGUUAGCGGCGGACGGGUGAGUAACACGUGGGUAACCUACCUAUAAGACUGGGAUAACUUCGGGAAACCGGAGCUAAUACCGGAUAACAUUUGGAACCGCAUGGUUCUAAAGUGAAAGAUGGUUUUGCUAUCACUUAUAGAUGGACCCGCGCCGUAUUAGCUAGUUGGUAAGGUAACGGCUUACCAAGGCGACGAUACGUAGCCGACCUGAGAGGGUAAUCGGCCACACUGGAACUGAGACACGGUCCAGACUCCUACGGGAGGCAGCAGUAGGGAAUCUUCCGCAAUAGGCGAAAGCCUGACGGAGCAACGCCGCGUGAGUGAUGAAGGGUUUCGGCUCGUAAAACUCUGUUAUUAGGGAAGAACAAAUGUGUAAGUAACUGUGCACGUCUUGACGGUACCUAAUCAGAAAGCCACGGCUAACUACGUG